rfam:Mustela putorius furo unplaced genomic scaffold scaffold00130, whole genome shotgun sequence.
CCCUGGCUGGCUCAGUCAGUAGAGCAUGUGACUCUUGAUCUCAGGGUCUUGGGUUCAAGCCACAGGUUGGGGA